rnacentral:lncRNA from 1 species
CUGCAGUGCUGGGGACUAAACCUGAGUCCUCUGGAAGAGCUCUUACCUGCUGAGCCAGCUCUCCAGCCCCAGGCCCUCAUUUUCAAUCUGAUUAACAAUCUGCCUCAUAUUCUUCCAGUGCUGUUUUUACUGUUAAACCUGUAAUUUCAAGAGAGGAGCACCUUGUCACCUGAUGAAUCCAAUAAUCACAAGCACAGAGAUUUUUGUAGGAAAAACAGCCAUCUGUUCCCUUACCAUAGAACUUGAGAAGCUGCUGGUCCCUAUAAGAGCAGCGUUUAUAAUUAGCUCCUAGCAGGGCUUCUCCAGCCACACUAGAUUCCUAACUACAGGUGCAGGGCUCCAAAGACCAAUUGAUACUGCUUAUUUUAUCCCAUUCUCUCACAUUUCAGGUGUAAACUAUCUCUAGUCAGGGUAUAAAGCACCUAUGAGAAUUACCUUUGCUUUUUUAGAUUUUCACAUAGCUCUAAACACAUACACAAAAACACAUAAAACAGAAACCAACAGAUCCAGACACACUCGACCCUUUCUUGUCCUCCACAAGCAGGCAAAAGAAUUAGACGAUGUUGGAGGGGGAAGCUUCCGCUUCAACAGAACUCGGUCCCUCUGACCGAUCCGGAGACGGCCAGGCGUCCCUGGCUCUCCUUACCUCCCAGGGCGUCCCCCAGGGCCACAGCCUGUGGUCCUCCUAGCACGUCUGCCGACCACAGUCCUCCGGUCCUUACGGCCCAAAAGGACAGCUGCAAAUACAGACACGCGCAUUUCAGAAAACCCCAUCACCCCAUCGUCUACAAACACCGUCGUCCACUUCUACCUAGACGACCAAAACCAGAGAAGCACACUUGUUCCUCACUCUGCAAGGUGUAAAACCAAGGCACAAGGUGGGACUCGAACCCACGAUCUCGUAACCCUGAAACCAAAGCACGAGGUGGGACUCGAACCCACGAUCUCGCAACCCGAAAACCAAGGCACGAGGUGGGACUCGAACCCACGAUCUCGUAACCCUGAAACCAAGAUACAAAUUUAAUAAACUCAGAUGGAUCCAAACUCAGACUUUGCCGUGCUUCAGAAACAUAGGACAAGACACAAACAACCCAACAUGACAAGCACAUGUUCCAAUGUUCAUUUCAGAAAACAGAGACACCGGCCGGCACACACACAAGAGGGGAUCCCCAUACCUCCAAGUCGGUUCACAGGUGUGAGGGGUGGUUGCGUUUCCCGGCCAUCGCACCAAAUGAAAGACCUACAACGUGAGGACUCCCCCACGUUCUGACUCAGGAGAGGCGACACCCCAAAAUCACCAACGAGAAACGGUCUUGCUGCAAAUUGCAAGAGGAUUUUUAUUCAAGAGCGCUCUCGGGCCCACGGUCAUACACCACGCAGGGGUAGAGGACUGUGGCGCCCCGAGUAGCUAAGUAAAGGGGUAUUUAAAGGAAAAAUCCACAACUCAAGGAGGUGGGAAGGGCUUUGUUGGAAAAUACCAAAAAUACCAGAUAAGAGUCACAAGGAAGUACAAAGUCACAGGUGUGUCACAAGAAUACCUGGUAAUUGUUAACUCUCAAGACAGUUUCUAAGAGCCCCUAACAAUAGCACAUUUGCAUUGCAGCUUCCGGUAAUGGUCAGGGUGACUUUCUUUGAAUGAAUACUCCUUGAACUCAGGAAGUGGGUGGGUGGAGGAAUGUCACUAUCUGUUUUAUGAUUAGCAUACCUUGGAGCACUGAGUUUACUACUCUUUCAGCGGCACCUGGUGAACUACAGAAGAGUUACUCUUCUCCGCUUCUGACAUCUUUUUUAGUUCCCGAAGCUCAUUAGUCAGCCUCUGAAGCUUAAUCUCAAACUCUAACUCACUUAGUCGUGUGUCCCUAUGUGUGGCACCUCCCUUUACUGUGUAGCUCUCUCUAGGCCUGCAUCCCCAGCAGUCACUAGCCAACCUAGACUCAGAGAGAAGAUGCCGAAAGCUGUCAAAAGCCCAUCAAAUGCUCUGACUCAAAUAACCCCACUUGAGCCCUGCGCUCACGAUGACAGUGGGGUGUCUGCGGACACUGCAGAAGAGUUCCAGCCUGGAGCAGAGGCGGACAGAAGGACAGAGAAGGUGCCUGCAGAGAGUCAGCCUCCCCCAUGCAGACCCUACCCAAUAAACACACAUAUCUUGGCCAAACUGAAUUUCCACCUGAAAAAAAAAAAGAUCCUAGCAAUGCAGUUUGGGAUUUCUGAAAAGGAAAAGAGAGAAUACAAGGAGCUGGGUACAGCCGACCUAGAGAGCGAAUCCAUCCAGGAAUUUCUCAGAAGUCUACACAUGUCAGAGAGCACACUGCUUCAGGAACAGCCUGUCGCAUGCCCAUCUCUGCCAGCCCCAAAUGCAAAAGGGGUCCACCCUAAAAAACAGCCAGCUUCUGCAGUACAGGAUGUGUGUCAGGCGCAAAGGCCUCCUCCUUCCAAAGCAGUGCCCCAUAGUUCUGCCCAGCAGAGCUCCAAGGCCUCGCAAUCCCAAAGGGAUAAGACCCAAGUCUGUGUUGACAUGGAAGCUGGAGGGAAAAGGUUCAACCUAGAGAAAUCCAAAGUCGUGGGGGACCUUGGAGAAGGGGACGCAGGUCUUGGGUUUUCCCUGGUCGGUCAAAAGACACGCCAGGAUGGAGAGCAGGAGAAGAGGCUCCUGCACAGACCACUCCAGGGCUCCUCACAACAGGGUCACACCUUUCAUCUUGAGGAUGCCUGUCCACACAGUCCCCGGGAGUCCCCUGAGCUCCAGUUCCCAGACCCACCUCCAGAAGUCUUCAUGGAGACAGACUCUGAGCAGGACAUGGAAGACAGUCAAAGCGAGGAAUCCAUUGUCCCAGAACCUGAAAUUCUUUUUUCACUCUAUUAACCCCAAGAUGAAGAGCAAAGCACACACGGAGCCAUCCACGGUCUCUACACCUGGAAAGGUGGCCAAAACCAGUAAAGAAAAUGUUGAUAGGGGUCUGCCUCAUGCCAAGAGCCCCACCAAGAAAACUAAGCCAGAGGACUCCAGAGGGCCCAAGGCCCAGUUUUCGUCCUCUGAGAAGUCAGUGAUGGCCUCCUUAUUAACUGCUCCCCAUAUUGUAGACAGUAAGCUCCGGCCUCGCUCCCGGCAGCUUGGCUCUGUCUCAAUAUUAGGCAACUCCCGCCAUUGCCCUCGGCACUGUCCUAGGUUGGCUUAUGCCACUCACCACAGAAACCUACCCUAGCUCCCAGGGUUUACUUCAGAAAUGCUCUUCUGGUAUUGGAGACCGCCCUGCAUGGUGACAGUUUCUAGGCUCCCCAACCUCUGUAUCCCUUUAAGAGCACAGCAUUGUCAUUUUCUUUGAUGAACAGGUAGGGACUGCACUACCCAAAAUGUAUUUUCUAUCUCCGAAUGAGUUGUCUGUCGUCUUUGUCUCUGCUGUACAUUAUUAAGAGAAGGUAUGAAGGAAAUAAAAAUGCCCUCAUCCUGGGAAGGAGACUUGAACUUACUUCAGACAAGUCAGUUUUCCUUACCCCAACCUAGAAUGUGAAUUAAACACUUGACCAGAAAGGAAGUCUCUCGUGUAUUAUACAAUAAAGAUAAAGAUCAGGCUUGAGUUCCUUCACCAAACUCUGCCUGGCUCAUAUUUUGGGGCCAAAGGUAAAGCGAUAAGGGAAAAAUUGUGAUGUUCUCAAUUUAAUUAUGAAAGUCAAGGGCUGGAAUGAAAAAGAAGUAAAAGAAAUUAGUGACGGCAGAGAACCAUCAAAAAAGAUUCUUCACGGUUUGGGACCUUUCCAUCCCUUCACAGUGAGUCCUUGGAUGUUACAUCCUUGAGUUCUCAAGGUACCUGCAAGAAAAAGGAUAUGUCCAAGCCCUCCACAGAUGCUCAGCCCUCAGGGGUACUCUCGGGCCUUUUCUGACCCAAAACACCAUGUAAGUCAGCCUUUCCCUCUUCCCCGACCUCUCUGAAUGGCAAGACUCCCUGUGAGCGUGAAGGAGCACAGAUUACUGUCCCGUUCCUGUCGCUGGCUGAGUGUGAAGCACUGGAACGCCACCUCCUAAAGAAACAACUAAGCAAGCUUCAGUGGGGCCUGCCAGCUCUCCUCCUCCAAAACCAGCCCUGAAUGCUGUGUGAAGCACCCAGUGAGGCUAAGACAGUAAAAACUUCCUUGGCAAGGAAGCCCUUUUUACAUCCCACCAGGGACAUCUUCCCAGAGCACGCAGGAAGGCUGCUGGAAUUCCACCUGCAGAAGCAGCUGAUUCACCUCCGCUGGGGGCUGCCCCAGAGGAUCCAGCGCUCCAUGAAUAUGCUGCUCUCCUCAACAGACCCACAGUCCCUGCCCUGUGGCAGCAGUAGCUUACCCAAUGUGAGCAUCUCACAGCCUGGGAAACCAGAGGCCAAUGGGCCUGGUGACAUGUUCUCACUCACAGCGGGCAAAGGGACAAUCCCCAUGCCACACUUGUUUGCCAAGACAAGGGAAAUGUUGAAAAGCCAUGUUGAUUCCAAAUGUGAACAGAUCCGGGAGGGCGAGGUCCCGGCCCAAGUCUGGAAAUCUUGGGAAUGCAAAAUUCCUGGAAGCUUAGCAACAGUGGCUCCCUUCCCUUGGAUUCCACAAGGCCAAUGCAGGAAGUUACAGGCAGAAAGUAAAAGUGACCAGGAGACACAAACCUUAUCUGGUACUCUCUUUGAACACUGUAAGAAGCCCCAAUCCCUGCCUAAGGAAACCAUUAAGAAACUGGAGACAACUUUACAUCAUAAGUAUCUGGCCUUCCUGUCAGGCCUGCCUGCCCUUUACUGUGUAGCUCUCUCUAGGCCUGCAUCCCCAGCAGUCAAUAGCCAACCUAGACUCAGAGAGAAGAUGCCCAAAGCUGUCAAAAGCCCAUCAAAUGCUCUGACUCAAAUAACCCCACUUGAGCCCUGCGCUCACGAUGACAGUGGGGUGUCUGUGGACACUGCAGAAGAGUUCCAGCCUGGAGCAGAGGCGGACAGAAGGACAGAGAAGGUGCCUGCAGAGAGUCAGCCUCCCCCAUGCAGACCCUACCCAAUAAACACACAUAUCUUGGCCAAACUGAAUUUCCACCUGAAAAAAAAAAA